AAAAUAUUUUAACUAUGAAAGGAAAAUAAUUUAAAAUAAUUUCAUUGCUACAUAAUUGGGUGUUGUUAAGAUGACAGGCAUCCUCCUAAUGUAUAACUGCGAUAAGUAAAGCAAAAAACACUUUUUGGUAUCUGUGUCAAAUACAUAUAAUCUCAACCUAUAAGAGAAAAACAACUGGACAAAUCCAAAUUCAGAGACAUUUCAGCAAAGUAUUUUUCUUCAAAGGUGUAGUCACAUAAGAUAAAAAUAGUAAUGAAUUAUCACAGAAUAGAAUAACAUAAGAUAUGUAAUAACUAAAUGUCAACUGGAUUUCUGGAUUGAAAAUGGGCAUAGAUAGUGUACAGUUCUAGAAACAUUGUUAUUAUGAUUUGAUCAACCUACAAAAUUACUUUUAACAUUUUUUUCAAUUUUCUAAUUUUUUGAGAAUUAGUCAUUAGAUUGAUUAAAGUAUAUAAAAUUUAGUAAUUAGGUUACGAUAUAAAACCAUACUGUUUCCUAUCAAUUAAAUCUCCUUUUCCUGUAUUGUUUGAAUUCUGCUUUAUUUUUUGUAUUGAUUCAUAUUAUUAAUUUAUUUAUGUCUCAAAUGCUGUCAUUUUUCCUGUUUUCCCCCACAGAUUCCCUUAACCCAAUCACCAUCCUUUUCUGAUUUCUUCUUUCAAAGAGUCAAAACAACAGGAGUUAUAAGGCAUGUUCAGUCCCUGAAUAGCUGUUCAUAUGGCCAUGCAUUUGAAAAUCUACAACAUUGAUAAUGCAGACAUCAGGAAAUAUCAUUCAAAAAUGAUCUUCAAAUAUUAAAUAAUCUCCACUUAUCAGCUAACAACUAUCAGCUUUACAAAACAGGAAGAAUCCAAGAGGAAAAAUAUCCUUGUAAUGUACGUAGAUAAAAUUGAUCAGAUAAGAAGGAAAUCAGAGAGCAACCUUCCUGGAUUCAACACAAGAGAGCCUCAGUUCCUGUAGUGUAUUCGACAGCAGUCUAGCAUGGCUUCCCUCUGUGAGAUUCCACUAAGCUGCUGACUCAGACAGAAGCAGGCAUCAUCUAGUCAAACCACGGUGGAGCUUGGGGACUCUGAUGGAAGAAGAGAAUGAAAAGGAUUAUGGCCUCUAAGGAUAUAGGCACUCCACAGGCUUUGUCUUCAUGCAGGCUAUGGUGUUGUGAAGACAAGAUACCACAUGUGCAGCUGUGAAUAAGUCUGAGAAGGCUGACUUCUUGGAUUUCUGAAGCAUUACUAAGUGAUCCAGAGGAAAUCAGCACGCCCUGCUCAGCAGAGCUCUGGGAAUGCUGACACUCUUGCUUCAUGUUUAUAUUAACCUAGGUCAAAAGAUCACCUGUCAGGACCAUUUUCUUCUUGACAAAAAGAAUAAGGCUAUGAGCUCUCAGCAAAACAACUGUGCCCUGCCCAUCACUUGGCUUUGGAAUAAAAAAAAAUAAUGAUAUAAACUCUUUGACUUCCAGGAAUGAUAUGAACAGGAACUGUAAGAGCAGGAAGUCCAGAUGCUUCUGAGAGGACCCCAGCUUCUAAUUCCCAUUUGUAGACGGCUCAGAUCAAGACAAUCUCUUCAUGAAACAACUCAACACCUACUAAGGACUCAGAGAGCUUUCCCAAGGACCUUUUUUGUACCAAGACAGAAGGUCAGCUUUCAUCUCCCCAUCUCUGAUAUCUUCAUCCUAUUUGUCCUCCCUCCGAAAUGGCUCUUUACACUGAAUUAUAGGCCAAUUAGUAAACCAUAGAUAUAUGGAAUGAAUAUCUGAGAGGCAAUUGCUGUCAGGACAACACUUGUGACAACAUAGAAGAAGAUAGGGCUCUCAAGGAUACAAGAGAUAUAUUACGGGGGUACUAAGGAUGAUGUCACUGAGAACUGCCAUGGACUACCUGCUAAACAGAUUUCCUUACAUUGACCAGAUUUGACGGUGCCCUUUCUAGGAGAGUCUCCUAUGACACAGUGGAAACCUUUUGUACUCCAUCUCUCUAACGCUAGAGACUUCUCUUUGCUGCAUAAGUGUUUACAUGGUCUAAAUGGACAAAAUUAAUCGGGACUUGGCAUGGGUAGAAAAGAUCUAGGAAGAUGGAGUGGAGGAGAUUCUUCUUGAUAAUAAUUUUGCUCCCUGGUCCAUUCCUGUGACAUACAGUUCAAUUUCCUAGUUUUUCUCUGUUUCCCAAAGGCCAUUAUUUUCCAUACAGACCUUUAAUUGAGUGAAUAUUGUAUUUCAUUUUCUAAUUCUUCAUUCCUAGAUAGGGCACUUUGUAUUCAUUCCUGAAAGUGUACUCAAAAAUUCUCUUUUACAAUUGCAUUUUUGUAAUGAUUUUGGCAAAAAAGAGGGCCGAAGUAUAGAGUGCAGAGAACAGUGUAAAUAUUUUGUACCUACUUCAAAUGAUAAACUCCAAAUUCUUAUUUUAUCCAAAAAUUAUCAUAUAUCAGUAAAUCAAAGACAACAUGUACUAUACAAUUCGUUUCUCUAUUCCCAUUUGAUAUCAUUUCUGCAAUAUCUUCCUUCUUGUGUUCCCAUGGCCACACUUGAGGUUUUUGGAUAUUUUACAAUGAUUCUUUUUUCAGGCCAAACAUAAGACUUAGGUGGAUGGGCAGGGAAAGAAAUGUUUUGAGUUCAACUGAAACCUCAAUUUCAAUAAGUUCAUAAGGACAGGAGGGACUUUUGCAUCUGUAGAUUCUACAUUCUUGUUCUAGAUGCGCAGAAUCAAUGGUAAAUUCCAUCUAACCUCACAUAGGAGCCAAUAUAUAUAUGAUAGAUAGAUAGAUAGAUAGAUAGAUAGAUAGAUAGAUAGAUAGAUAGAUAGACAGAUAGAUAGAUCUGCCACCAAAAUAAGAUAAGAUUGUUGAAGUUAAGAAGUGCAUUCUGCCAGGAAGAGGAUAUAGACAUUUCCUGAGAAACACAGCUAGAAUAUGUCAAUUACAUAAGUGAAUGCUUGUGGCAAACCAGUUACUUGUAAAUGGAACUCUUGUUGAUAACUUUUGAGAAAGGAUUACAAGAGGUAAAGGGGUUUUCAAACCCAUAAGAAAAGCAAUGUCAAUGAACCAGAGCUUUCUAGUACUAGACCAAUAUUCAACGAAUGUACAUGGACAUACCUAUGGCUCCCACUGCAUAUUUAGUACCAGAUGGCCUUCUUGGGAACCAACAGAAGUAGAAGCUCUUGGUCCUCCCUAUAUUUGAUUCACAGUUCAUGGGAAUGCAAAGGGGUAGUAAGGGGAUUAUAGUAGAAUGGGAGGUGGACUGGUUAGGGAUCUUAGAGACAGGAAAUUGGAAAAGGAAUAACAUUUGUAAUGUAAAUAUAGAAAUAUCAAAUUUAAAAAAGCUAUAUAUUUUGCUAAAAAAGAAAAAAAUGAAAGAAAUAAAAGAAAAGAAAACUGCCAAUUAAUUACACCCUUUGACUCAGAAAUCUAAAGGGUCACUGUCAGGGAAUGGUAGUCAGAGUAAUACUAGUUCAAAGACGAAGAUGGUGAAAUCUCAAAUAGAAGCAAUUUUCUCUCCCAGAUAUCAGUGUCAGACACAAUCUGCACUCUAGGAAUCCAAAGCACAGAGUAAUUUACUCUGAGCUGAGGACACAAUACUUGUCUUUCCCUUCUUCCUUAGGACCAAAACCAUCAGCUUUAAAGAAAACUGUGCCCUUUCCAACACUUGGCUUUGGAAAAAAGACAUGAAUGAUAUAAAUUCUCCGACUUCCAGGAACCAUAACUAGCAGGGAAGUCCAGAUGCAUCUGAGAGGCUCCCAUCUCCUGAUUACCAUAUUUGGAAGGCUCCAAUCAAUACUAUCUUUUCAGCAAACCUUCUCAACCACUACCCAGAAAUGACUGAGAUUUCCCAUGGACCACAUAUUUCUUUUUUUUUAUAACAAAGCAGAAGGCCAGCUUCCUUCUUCCCAUCUUUGAUCACUUCAUCCUCUUUUUUCUCCUUCCCAAAGGCUGUUUAUGCUGAAUUAGAGGCCAAAUAGUAAACCCUAGAGGUACUGAAGGACUACUGGAGAGGCAACUUCUGUCAGGACAACACUUGUUACAUCACAGAAGAAACUAGGGAUCUCCAGGAUACAACAGAUUUUUUUAGAUAGGCCUAAUGGUGAUGUCACUGAGAAUUGCCAUGGCCUACCUGCUAAAGUGUUUUCCUUUCAAUGACCAGAUUCGAGGGUGCCCUUGCAAGGGCCAGACGUGAAGGUUUUCGAGGUUUUACCAUGGUUGUUACUUCAGGACAAACAUAAAAUUCAGGAGGAUGUGCAGGGAGAUGAAUGGCUUGAUGUCCAGGGAAACUUCAACUUCAAUAGGUUCAUAAGAACAAGAGGGAGGUGUUUGGAAUUGCCAUUUGUGGAUUCUACAUUCUUGACCUAGGUGUACAUAAUCCAUGUGAAAAUUCCACCUAACCUCAUAGCUGUAGGAGCCACCAAAUGUAUAGUUGGAACGAGAUGUACAUCUUUCCUGAGAGACACAGCUUGAGCAAGUCAAAUACAGAAGAGAAUGCUACUGGCACCAGUGAACCAAAAAUGGAUCUCUUGUUGGUAGUUUUUGAGAAAGAAUUACAAGAGCUUAAGGGGAUUUCAAAUCCAUAAGAACAACAAUGCCAGUGAACCAGAGCUUUCUGGUACUAAACCAAUAUUCAAAGACUGUACUUGGACAGACCUAUGUGUCCAACUGCAUAUUUAGCAGUGGAUGGCCUUGUUGGGAACCAAUGGAAGGAGAAGUUCCUGGUCCAACCUAGGUUUAACUCUCAGUUCAAGGUAAUAUCAAGGUUCACUAAGGUAGGUUAUAGAAGAAUGUUAGGAGGACUAGUUACGGGUCUUAUGGACAUGAAACUGGGAAAGAAAAUCAAAUUUGAAAUUCAAAUAUAGAAAUAUCCAAAUAAAAAAAGCAAUAAAAUUUGCUAAAAAUUAAAAAAAAAUGAAAUAAAUUAAAGAAAAGACAUCUGUCAGCUAAUUACACAUAUUGACUCAGAAAUCUAAAGGGUAACUAUCAGCAAAUGGUAAUCAGAGUAAUACUAGUGGAAAGACUGAGAUGAUGAAGUCUCAACUAGAAGCUCUUCUCUCCCAAAUAUCAGUGUCAGACACAAACUGCACUAUAGGUGUCCAAAGCAUGGAGGCGUUUACACUGAGCUGAGGAGACAAUACUUGUCUAUCCUUUGUUUCUUCGGACCUUUUUCUUCAGGGCAAAAAGAGUGAAAGCCAUGAGCUCUCACUAGAACAACUGUGCCCUUCCCAACAACUGACUUUUGGAAUGAAGAAAAUGAUUAUAUAAACUCUCUGAAUUCCAGAAACCAUAUCAAGCAGGGAAGUCCAGAUGAUAAUGAGAGAAUCCCAGCUCUGGAUUCCCAUGUGUGUAAGGCUCAGAUCAAGGCUAUCUCUUCAGAUACAACACUCAACGCCUACCCAAGACUCACUGAGCUUUCCCACGGACCAUUUAUUUCUUCCUUUUUUUAUACAAAGAGAGAAGGCCAGCUUCCUUCUCUUUUAUCUCCCUAACAAAUGGCUGUUUAGCCAGAAUAAGAGGUCAAUGAGUUAACCCUAGAGGUCCUCAAAGAAUAUCCAAGAGGCAGUUGCUGUCACCAUGACACUUGUGACAUCACAGAAAAGCUAGAGCUCUUCAGGAUACAAGAGAUAUUUCAGGGAGGACCUAAUGAUGAUGUCACUGAGAACUGCCAUGAUCUAACUGUUGAACAGCUUUCUUUACAUUGACCAGAUUUGAGGGUUCCCUUUCCAAGAGUGUCUCUUGUGACACACUGGAAACCUUUAAAUACUAUAUAUCUCUAAUGCUGGAGACUUCUCUUUGCUUCAUUCGUACGUACAUGUUCGGAAUAGAGAAUGUUGGUCAGGGGCUUGGCAUGGGUAUAAAGAUCUAGGAACAUGGGGUGGAGGAUAUUAUUCUGGAUAAUAAUUCCACUCCCAGUUCCAUUCCUGUGACAUACAGUUCAAGUUCCUAGGUUUUCUCUGUUUCCCAAAGUCCAAUAUUUUCCUUCCAGACAUUUAGGUGAAUGAAUAUUGUAUUACAUUUUUUUAUUGUACAUUCUUUGAAAGGAGACUUUAUAUAUAUUACUGAAUGUGUACUCAAAUAUUCUGUUUUCCAAUUUUAAUUUUUGCAAUAAUAUUGGCAACAAAGUUGGCCCAGCUAAAGCAUGAAUAUAACAGUAUAAAUAUUGUAUACCUACUUCAAAUGAUAAUCUCUCAAAUCCUUAAUUUAAGCAAAAAUUACCAGCCAUCAGUAAAGCAAAGGACAAUAUGGACUUUAGAAUGCGGUUCAGAUUUUCUUUUAGGCUUGAAAAAUUUUGCGAAGAAGGUUUUGUGGGUGUAUUUGUGUCUUUAUCCCUCCAUUGCUGGUCUUUCCAGUCAAUGGGAUUUGGCCUCUUAAUGUUUCAUAUCACCAAUGUAAGUCACAGCUUAGGUCACCCCAUUGAUUCGUGGGUACCUCCAUUAUACCAGGUCUCUUUCUCUUCCUGGAGGUUUCUCCCACCUCCUCAUCUCUUAAAGUUCAAGAUUUCCUUUCUUUCUCAUGACUAUCGGGUCCUAUCUCCUGUCCCUUCACACACAGGAUCCAUUCUCCUCUUCCUUCCAUCUCUCAUCUAGUUCCUUUCCUCAAUCGGCCUCCUAGACUAUUUUAUUCCCCAUUCUAAGUGAGAGUCAAUCUUAUGCACUUUGGCCAUUCUUCUUGUUUAUCUUCUUUGUACCUUUAAGCUUUGUGGAGGAUGUCCUGUAGUUUAUGGAUAAUAUUACUUAUAAUUGAGCAAUUUCAACAACCCUCUUGAUCAUAUUUUACAGUAGUAUGUUAAAAUUGAAAAUUAUAAUUUAGUAUGAGUGAAUGUCAUGGGACCAAAUUUAAGUAAAAAGAAACUUAAAACAAGAUCAAAUCACAGAUUUUAAAAAUUGACCUAAUAAUAAAAAUUCUCUACUGUCAUAAGGAAUUAUUAUAUCACAGGCAAUUUUUAAGUGGUACCAUAAAUUUGGCAGACAAAUGAUGUUUUUAACAAGUAAUUAUGGAUAAUAUGACUAAGAUCAAAUAAGAUAAAUAUAUUGUUUUCAUUCUGAUAUCACUUCCUGGCAUUUUUCCUCAAACAUGAUGUUUAUAGCAUUGAACAUUAUGGUAUUAGUUUUAAAUUUUAAUAUUUAUUAUAACCUAACCUAUAAAGUAACAGGUUGCCAUAUGUUAUGUUUGUAGACAAUCACCCUCAUCCUCGCUUCCUCAGUUCUUUGUUUUCGCCUGCCCUAUGUCCCUCACCACUUAUACUAGUCUCUCUUCAUUAUUCUUACUUCUAGAUUCAUAUCCCACAUGCUCAAUAUCUUCCAUACCACACUGUUUAAAACCCUACUCUCUAAUCUCUGUGAUGUAUACCAGUUAAAUGAACUCAAACCACCCACAGCUUCACAUAAAUACAAGUAUAUUAAAAGGAGAUUCUUUGAUCUCUUUGAAAAAGAACACAUGGUAUUUGCCUUUCUAAGUCUUUGUUACCUUACUCGGUUUAGUUUUCCUAGGGAGAAUGAAGUACCAUUGUGUAUAUUGUCACAUUCUUAUAUAUCUAUGUAUCAAUGAAUAUUCAUUAUGAUUCUCAAUAAAAGAGCAAUAGAUUUAUUUUUGAAAAACGAUGAGAAAGCUCAGAUAGAAAAGUCAAGAAACUAAGAAACUAAGAAAAUUUCAAAGAUAAAU